UACGUAGGGGGCAAGCGUUGUCCGGAAUCAUUGGGCGUAAAGAGCGUGUAGGCGGCUUGGUAAGUCCGCUGUGAAAGUCCAGGGCUCAACCCUGGAAUGCCGGUGGAAACUGUCAAGCUUGAGUCCGGAAGAGGCGAGUGGAAUUCCUGGUGUAGCGGUGAAAUGCGCAGAUAUCAGGAGGAACACCGAUGGCGAAGGCAGCUCGCUGGGACGGUACUGACGCUGAGGCGCGAAAGCGUGGGGAGCAAACAGG
rnacentral:rRNA from 1 species